ensembl:lncRNA
GUGAGUUUCCUCCUUUUUGGAAUGUUCCACUAUGAGUCUAGAUCCUUGGAUAUGGACCUUGCUAUUUCCUCUUGUUGGUAAUCUCCUGAAGUAAGACAUAGUAAACCAGUGGCUACAUCAAAUCAUCUCAAGUUUCAUCUAUUUCAACAACCACAAAAUGUUCAACUGCCUUCCUCCUGCCUCCUUCACCUAGUUCUUAAUCAACCUCUCAUGUACUUUGGCCUGUUCAUAGCAAGCCUUCCUUCCUGCCACCAAAUCAGAGAACAGACGCUGGCUUCACCACACCAAGGAAAAAGACCAUGGAUUUUACAACUCACAAAGCUGCUAUGCACAGACAACACUCCAGGAAAAUAAUCUGGGAGAUGUUUGGUGGGGAUUUGGGGCUGCACCAUCUGGUUGCCCCGAUGUACCUCAUUGCCACAAAGCCUAGGGACCACGUGAGCAAAAAACUUCCGCGAACACUGUACACUAAAAAUCAUAACCAACAACCAGAGCUCAUUUUGGAGGGGCUACAACACAUAUGCUACAAAGUGCACAUCCAUCACUUCCUGUGAGCAGUGAGAUACAAAAAUUGGCAAGGGAAGAAGUGGUUUUAUUGUUGCCUGGCUUGUUGCCCCUUCUGCUGCCCCCAUCUCCAAAGUAUGUAGGGGCAGCCACGCCCAAAGAGAAGUCCUGCCACCAGGUUGACCAAAGAUGCUUUAAUAAACCGAAGAAAAGAAGCACAUUCUGUUCUCACAAAAUAAUAUCAGUAACUUUUUUUCCCCCAGUCCCAGUGUUUAAAACUAGCCAUCAUAUAGAAAAUUAUAUUCAAAAUAUAUGAUGAUGUGAUUUCUCAAAGCGUAGUUUUCCAAGAAAAGGAAGCUGAAGUACAUCCAGCACUUCUGAAAAAUCUGAUUAUUUAAUUCAGUCUAAUUAUUUAAUUUGUUUGACAAAGACAGGAGCUUAACUUCAUAUACCUGCUUAUGAAAGCCUUGGGCUUCAAGUAACAGUGGGCAAAGGAUACAUAAUUAAUAUAACAAGAGACCAGAAAAUGAAUAUGUUGAAGUUACUACUGCAGCUCUAACUUUGUCACAACACAUACAGGUCUUUUAUUGGCUUUCUCCAUAAAGGUGAAUUUCCUGUUUUUCCUGGUUAAAUGUAAAAUACCAGAAAUUGCUCAGUGUGUCAUUAAAUGUCAGGAAAUGCAAUUCAACUGAGUUAAGCAUGUUGCUGGAAUAAAUCUGGAUAGAGC